GGAAAUUCCAGAGAAUGUUAUUUAAUUAUUCCGGAUCUAAUCUCCUGUAACCAGGAUGUUUUUCAAUGGGGGAGGGGCUUAUAUUUUAUAUAAAAAGAGCACUAACAGCUUACAACAUUAUUACAAGUUUCAGAAGCUGGAGUAAGAAGAUUAGCAGGUUAACAAAGCUAAAAUAAAAAUGAAGGUCUAUCAAACCAUGUUUGUGUCCCUUGUGGUCAUUUCUGUUAUCGGUGAUGUGGGUCAUUUUUUCCAGUCUCUCUCGGCUUCUCCAGGUAGUGAGUUGUCAAGGAAUUCCUACAGUUUGAUCUCAGGGGCUGACGCAUGGGUUGGGUUAGCUGCCAGAGCUGUUGGUAGAGCUAUAAAGAGUGCUGCUGGUCACAGAAAAAAUAAACGUCCAAGCAACAAAGGUAAACACCAGAAAGGAGACGCUCGACGACAGAGAGAUCAAAACAGGUCUGAUGGACAAAAGGGCGGUAAAGGCAAAAGUAAGAAACGAGGUUGAAGAACAAAUUGAACGUGAAAAACAAUUUUAAAAGAAAUACAGAAGUAAAGUUAACCUGCAAGAAAAUAAUUGGGAUUCUUUUUACAUGAACGCAUAAUUCUAAUUUUGUUUACAUUUUAUAUUUACACUAUACAUUGUGCACUGUAUUAUUUGUUACAUUUUUAUCAUUCUUAUUUUUAAAUACAACGUGGUAUUUCUUAAAAUAAAAUGUCAUUGCAGAUACAGGGAA